UAUUGUUCAUCCUCUUCAACCUUUUCUUCUUCCUCUUCCCUUUCUAAGUCUUUUUUCAUUUUCUUCCUUCUUCUCUACUUUCUGAAGGAGAAUAGAACACCACCUGUGCUACUCCAGCCCUGGAAUGGGUUUUAUUUACCAUGAAUUUUCAGAGCUCUCCAAUCAUGUACACCAAUUGUUUCAGAAACCAUGGAUACAGUUCAGGAACCAUGGAAACAAGACCCAGUAAUCGAGACUUGCCCAGGAUCAUAUAGCAAGUUCAUAUGAAUGAUUUUUAAUUAACUUUAAGAAUUUAUCUAAUGUAAAAUACUGCCACAAAGAAGUCAAAAGAACCUAGAGAUAUCCUGAAUCAGCAAGCAAUUGAUCUGGUCAAGUGGAGAGCCAUGAUAAUCAAGGCUGAUUUAGAGUACUACUUACUUGAAAAAUGUUAUAGAGUCCAGCAAAAAUUUGUAAGAAUAUGAAGCUAUAAACAGUGAAAAGUAGUAAAAGAAAAAGUGAACUGACAAAGUUUUGCAUGAGGACAGAUGACAUACUGAUACCAAGUCAUGCCAAGAAGAUUUGUGGCAAACAGCAAAUAGGCUAGAUUUGCCAGUAUAUUUGUAGUGACUGUACUCAUCUCAUCAAUGAUAGCAAUUCUGUUAAAUUUAGAUAUCACUGUCUGAGUACUUGAUGUUGUCUGCUAAUAAUGUAAAAUGUCACUUAAAAUGAGAUUGUGAACACGA